GAUGAACGCUGGCGGCGUGCCUAAUACAUGCAAGUCGAGCGAACAGACGAGGAGCUUGCUCCUUCGACGUUAGCGGCGGACGGGUGAGUAACACGUAGGUAACCUACCUAUAAGACUGGGGUAACUUCGGGAAACCGGAGCUACUACCGGAUAAUAUUUCGAACCGCAUGGUUCGAUAGUGAAAGAUGGCUUUGCUAUCACUUAUAGAUGGACCUGCGCCGUAUUAGCUAGUUGGUAAGGUAACGGCUUACCAAGGCAACGAUACGUAGCCGACCGGAGAGGUGGAUCGGCCACACGGGAGCGAGGACCCGGACCCAACCCCGACGGGAGGCACCGGUGGGAAUACUGCCGGAAGGGGCGAUGGCCGAUCGGGGCAAAUCGGCGGGAGUGAGAAAGGGCUACGGUUCGUAAGACUCUGUGAUUGGAGAGGAACAAAGGUGUAUUAAACGGGGCACUUCUGAAGGGAACCUAAGAAUAAGGCCAGGCCAAAUUAGUG
rnacentral:rRNA from 1 species